UACGGAGGGUGCGAGCGUUGUCCGGAAUCACUGGGCGUAAAGGGCGCGUAGGCGGCAUGCCAAGCGUGUGGUGAAAGCCCGGGGGCUCAACCCCGGGUCGGCCGUGCGGACUGGCAUGCUCGAGCACUGUAGGGGCGGGUGGAAUUCCGGGUGUAGCGGUGGAAUGCGUAGAGAUCCGGAAGAACACCGGUGGCGAAGGCGCCCGCUGGGCAGGAAGGAAGCGUAAGCUUCCGGCUGACGCUGAGGCGCGACAGCGUGGGGAGCAAACAGG
rnacentral:rRNA from 1 species